UGAAGUUCAGAUAGCAGUUAUUUUACGACUUGAAGCAGUUCUGAUAUUUGUUAACUAUUAAACAAUACACAUUUUUAUUAUAAGAAUAUUUUAUGGACUAUAGUGUUUUAUGGGCUAUUAAUAAGUAGAAAUACUGAGCCAUUAUUUUAUAAUUUAAUUAUAACGUUCGGUUUGCUGAAAGUCAAUAAUUAAAAUGGCGUCAUUUUCAAUGCCUGCUGUUGAUGUAGCCUCGGAUGAAGUUAAAGAUCAUUGCUGCUCGGCAUGCGUGGAGCAGUCAAUUGAAAUAUGUGCCGACUUUUACUGUGAAACAUGUUUGAAAUUGUAUUGUAGACAAUGUAUUCACCACCAUGGUCAAUUAUUUAAAAAGCAUACACCUUAUGGAAGGAAUCAAAUGAACAAAUGGCCAGUUUCAAAAAAGGUGAAAGAUUUUCUAUUAAUGUGUGAAGUGCACAAAGGUGAAACUUUGAAAAUGUUUUGUGAUGACCACAGCCAGCUGUGCUGUACAGACUGCGCCUUCGUUAAUCACAGACAGUGCCUUAAGGUGGAACACAUUUUCAAAAAAAAUACCAACAUAACAGAGCUGCAGCAAUUGUCCACUAAGCUCGAAACUAUUCUGCACAAAAUGAAUAGCCUACAUGCGAAACAGGAGGCAACAAUCCAGUCAGUGCAGGGAUCAUAUGAUGAACAGUUACAACUGGGAAACACGCAGGAAAAUCAAUGAAGCUUUAGACAAGAAAGAACAAAAAACCUUAAAUGAAAUGAAAGACACACUGACCAGACUCCAAGCUUCUCUUAAAUCAAAACAUUGAACAGUUUUUAUCAACUCUCUCGGGUAUAGGUGGUAUUUUUACAAGCCCCAUGCAUUAUUGAGAGUGCAGACAUAUAACAACACCCAUGAAUUAUUGUCUUUGUCUAAGCAAUUGAAGUUGGAAACAAGUGUUAAAAUACCAGUCGAUUCCGCCGUAUGCAGCAUCAAAGCCAUCUGUGUUCUCUCUGAAUAUCAGACCCUUGUUGCUGACAAAAGUAAUAUGAAAAUCAAGCUGCUUGGCGGGCAGUAUGAGGUACUGAGUCAAUGUAUAGUAUCCGGUAAUCCAGAGGACAUAUGUCAGAUGACACACACAGAGGUUGCUAUUACUGUGAAUGGUGCCGCCACACACUGGGUGCAAUUUAUCACAGUUAGCAAUGGACAGCUUUUGAAAGGUAGAACAAUUCAGUUACCCCAUCACUGUGCAGGGAUCGUCCAAAACCAGGGAGACAUGUUCAUAACUUCUACUACUGCACUGUACAAGUACACAUUAAGUGGUAAACUAGUCAGCAUUAUAUAUCAGGAUACUUCAAGCAGUAAUUCAGAUAAGAAUCAAGGUGGUUGCCGUCUCAUGUCAUUAACACGAAUUUUUAUGGGAUUGGUUUGACAUUAAUUAUGUGUAUUCUCACUUAAAUUUAAUACAGCUGUAAGGCAUACAUUUAUUUAUUUGACCGUUUGAAAGAACGGCGGAAAAUUAAACUGUCAACUAAAAAAAUACUUAGUGAGUAUCCCAUUCCGGUGUUGCGCUUACGCAAACGUGAUAUUUGUGGUGUUAACAUAAACAAAAGGUUAAACACAUGGAUGAUUAUUGUAAAGUUUCACCGUUUAAUUUAUAUAUUUAUAAAAAAUAUGCACAAACCUCAUCCGGAAAAUAGUACCUCACCAGUAUUUAACAGGGCGAUGUCAUAAAUAUACAGAUGUGCUGUAAGCGCCAAUGGUGACACAAUUUAUAUCAAAAACCGUGGCCAGAACAAGCUUUUAACUCUUAGCAGGAAUGGAACUGUCCUGUCAAUAUUCUCUGACCCUGAAUUAAAAGAACCAACUGGAGUACAUUUGACAACUGGGGACCAAGUGUUAGUCUGUUUCGGCGGGUCCAACGCCAUCGUAAAGUUGAACAAAAAUGGCAGUCGCAAGGUAACCACUCUGGUCAAAGAAGAGGAUGGAUUGAAUUGCCCAGAGUCAGUAUUUUACAACAUAAACAGAAAAAAAUUAAUUAUAGGAUAUGAGUUCAAUAAUAUUUCGGUGUUUUAUAGCAAACGUAGUUGUUCAAUUAUGUAAUAUUUGUUUUGUAUAUGUUAUGCAUGUAUAGUGAAACGAGUAUUUCUAGUAUUGAACUACUAAUUAGAUGCAACUUAAAAUGCUCUGUCGUAUAUAUAAUUUAAUAAUAAAUCAAUUGUAGACAGUAAUUUAAAGUAA